rnacentral:SRP_RNA from 2 species
GCCGGGGGUGGUGGCGCAUGCCUGUAGUACCAGCUACUUGGGAGGCUGAGGUGGGAGGAUCACUUGAGCCCAGGAGGUCAAGGCUGCAGUGAGCCAAGAUUGUGCCACUGCACUCCAGCCUGGGCAACAGAGUGAGACCAUGUCUCAA